rnacentral:misc_RNA from 1 species
CUACCCUCGAGCACUGCUCGGUGUUGGCGGAUUGCCUAGCAACCGCUGAAAAUCAACGGCGGUGGCCCCUAUGUCCCUGUAUAGUACUAUUCUUACAGUGGUUAUAGCGGUCUACCAGUCUCUUGUCGGCGCCGUAAGAAGCGCUACAUUUUGAA